UACGAAGGGGGCUAGCGUUGUUCGGAAUCACUGGGCGUAAAGCGCACGUAGGCGGAUUGUUAAGUCGGAGGUGAAAUCCUGGGGCUCAACCCCAGAACUGCCUUCGAUACUGGCGAUCUUGAGUGUGGAAGAGGUUGGUGGAACUCCGAGUGUAGAGGUGAAAUUCGUAGAUAUUCGGAAGAACACCAGUGGCGAAGGCGGCCAACUGGUCCACUACUGACGCUGAGGCGCGACAGCGUGGGGAGCAAACAGG
rnacentral:rRNA from 1 species